rnacentral:rRNA from 1 species
UACAGAGACUGCAAGCGUUAUUCGGAUUCACUGGGCGUAAAGGGUGCGCAGGCGGCCAAGUGUGUGAGGCGUGAAAGCCCGGGGCUUAACCCCGGAAUUGCACCUCAAACUACAUGGCUAGAGCAUUGGAGAGGGUAGCAGAAUUCAUGGUGUAGCAGUGAAAUGCGUAGAUAUCAUGAGGAAUACCAGAGGCGAAGGCGGCUACCUGGACAAUUGCUGACGCUCAUGCACGAAAGCGUGGGGAGCAAACAGG